rnacentral:SRP_RNA from 1 species
GCUGUCACCGCAAGGGGGAGUGGCGUGUGAAGGGCACUGCAUGGGUACUGGUCUUCAAUACUACGUUGGUGGCUGCGCCUGAGCAGAGUUGACGGUGCCUGCCGGCAUCUGGGGGAACCUGGAUGUCUUCGGGCAUGAUGUGUGGGGUAUCGCUUCAGGCUGGAAACAGAGCAGAGUUACCUGCCGCCGCUAACGGCUGCCAGAUUACGUGGCC